UGCGGUAGAAUGUGCCUGCCAUGGGGCUUUUAACAGUAGGAAGCGAUGACUUGGCAGGAGUAGGUGGGGAUGGAGGAGGCAGGGAGGCUGGAGUAGAAGGUGCUGGUGAGGCAGCAGGUGCAGGAGGAGGAGCCAUUGAUUGCACAAAAGAUGGUUGGUUUGGCUGCUGCAUCAUAACAUAAGGUGCAGGGGAUUGGGGUUGAGGUAAAGCUUCCUUUUUUCGAAU
rnacentral:lncRNA from 1 species